UCUCUGCCCUAGAGGCUCUAAAAUAUCUAAGUAGGUCACAUUGUAAGACCCCCUUUUGGGGACCCUCACUCCAGUCUCGGGAGAGAGAGAGCACCCAAAGAAAUAUGAGAAUCC
rnacentral:pre_miRNA from 7 species